UUUGAAGUAUAGCCUGCCCCCUGAGUAUUUAAAUGGCCGCGGUAGCCUGACCGUGCAAAGGUAGCACAAUAACUAGUUUUUUAAUUNAUAGCUGGAAUGAAAGGCUGGACGAGGGAAAAUCUGUCUCUAUUUAAUUUAAUUAGAAUUUUAUUUUUAAGUAAGAAAGCUUAAAUAAUUUUGAAAGACGAGAAGACCCUAUAGAAUUUUAUAUUUAUUUUAAUGUUGGGGUGUGAGGAAUAGUUGGCUUUGGCAUUAUUAGACAUAUUUUGUUGGGGCGAUAGAAAAAUUUAAGAAACUUUUUUUAAAUUUAUCCANUAAUGUAUGAGUACGUGANCCNUUAUUUANGAUUAUAANAUUAAAUUACCUUAGGGAUAACANCGUANUCUUUUUUAAGAGUUCUUAUCGAAAAAAGGGACUGCNACCUCNAUGUUGNAUUAAAGUUAACUUUUGGUGUA
rnacentral:rRNA from 1 species